GUUUCUUGACUGUAGAUAUUAUCUCUUCGUAUUGACUGGGGGAGUAAAUUCUAUCCAAACUUCUAACAACACGUUUAAUCACUGAAAAGGUCAUAUCGCAAGGUCUUCUUCUUCAUCAGCACUGAUGGUCAGCUAGAGCCCAGGUGAUGCCUUGCAGAACACACAGAUUGCUUUCUCAAAGUUCGGGCAGCCUAAAUGCUGGAUUGGUGUCUAAACUGUAGACAACUUAAAAGAGAGCACAGACAUUAGUAUAUUCACAGAAGGAAGCCGAAUAGAAGUUGGGUGGGAUGCGCACUCGAACAGAGGAGCACCAUUAACCAAAUAAUAGCAGCAGGCCGUUAGCAAAAUAGCAUUGGUUCAAAUAAGGUAUUGGAAAAUCCAUUUUCUACUGGUAGAGCAAGUGAGUUUUUACUGGAGUGGCAGCUAUUGUUGCAUAUGGCUUUCAGUCCUUGAUAACUUUACAAGGAGAUGGUGAUGUGAGCGAGUCAGAAAAGCGAGAACGAGAAGCAGAAAAUCAUGAAUUUGAAAUGCUGGAAAUUGAUUCAAUUAUGGAAAGACGACAUUUCGCUUAUCGCAUUUAUAGAAAUGGGGAUUUCAAUUAUUUACGAAGUUAGUCAUAAUUUAAAAGGUAGCACAUUAUCUUCAAGUAGAUGUUGGUUUUAACCUAGCGCUAGAAAUUGAUUUUUAAUUUGGAUGCUUCUGUUGUCAAAUGUAAAUAACUAAAUUUAAUGUAU